rnacentral:rRNA from 1 species
AUUGAACGCUGGCGGCAGGCCUAACACAUGCAAGUCGAACGAGUGGCGGACGGGUGAGUAAUGUCUGGGAAACUGCCUGAUGGAGGGGGAUAACUACUGGAAACGGUCGCUAAUACCGCAUACCCUCGGAUGUGCCCAGCGGGGAUUAGCUCGUAGGUGGGGUAACGGCUCACCUAGGCGACGCUCCCUAGCUGGUCUGAGCGGAUGACCGGCCAAACUGGAACUGAGACACGGUCCAGACUCCUACGGGAGGCAGCAGUGGGGAAUAUUGCACAAUGGGGGCAAGCCUGAUGCAGCCAUGCCGCGUGUAUGAAGAAGGCCUUCGGGUUGUAAAGUACUUUCAGCGGGGAGGCGUUACCCGCAGAAGAAGCACCGGCUAACUCCGUGCCAGCAGCCGCGGUAAUUC